UACGUAGGUGGCAAGCGUUGUUCGGAAUUAUUGGGCGUAAAGGGCGCGUAGGCGGUUUGCUAAGUCAGUUGUGAAAGCCCGGGGCUCAACCCCGGAGGGUCGGCUGAUACUGGUGGACUAGAGUACGGAAGAGGUAGCUGGAAUUCCCGGUGUAACGGUGAAAUGCGUAGAUAUCGGGAGGAACACCUGAGGCGAAGGCGGGCUACUGGGCCGAUACUGACGCUGAUGCGCGAAAGCCAGGGGAGCAAACGGG
rnacentral:rRNA from 1 species